rnacentral:rRNA from 2 species
UAGGGAAUAUUUCCACAAUGAGCGAAAGCUUGAUGGAGCGACACAGCGUGCACGAUGAAGGUCUUCGGAUUGUAAAGUGCUGUUAUAGGGAAAGAACACCUGGUUGAGGAAAUGCUUCCAGACUGACGGUACCCUGUCAGAAAGCGAUGGCUAACUAUGUGCCAGCAGCCGCGGUAAUACAUAGGUCGCAAGCGUUAUCCGGAAUUAUUGGGCGUAAAGCGUUCGUAGGCUGUUUAUUAAGUCUGGAGUCAAAUCCCAGGGCUCAACCCUGGCUCGCUUUGGAUACUGGUAAACUAGAGUUAGAUAGAGGUAAGCGGAAUUCCAUGUGAAGCGGUGAAAUGCGUAGAUAUAUGGAAGAACACCAAAGGCGAAGGCAGCUUACUGGGUCUAUACUGACGCUGAGGGACGAAAGCGUGGGGAGCAAACAGGAUUAGAUACCCUGGUAGUCCACGCCGUAAACGAUGAUCAUUAGUCGGUGGAGAGUUCACUGACGCAGCUAACGCAUUAAAUGAUCCGCCUGAGUAGUAUGCUCGCAAGAGUGAAACUUAAAGGAAUUGACGGGGACCCGCACAAGCGGUGGAGCAUGUGGUUUAAUUUGAAGAUACGCGGAGAACCUUACCCACUCUUGACAUCCUUCGCAAUGCUAUAGAGAUAUAGCGGAGGUUAACGGAGUGACAGAUGGUGCAUGGUUGUCGUCAGCUCGUGUCGUGAGAUGUUUGGUCAAGUCCUGCAACGAGCGCAACCCCUAUCUUUAGUUACUAACGAGUCAUGUCGAGGACUCUAGAGAUACUGCCUGGGUAACUGGGAGGAAGGUGGGGAUGACGUCAAAUCAUCAUUCCUCUCACGAGGGGGGCAACACACGUGCUACAAUGGUCGGUACAAAGAGAAGCAAUAUGGCGACAUGGAGCAAAUCUCAAAAAGUCGAUCUCAGUUCGGAUUGGAGUCUGCAAUUCGACUCC